CGCGGGGGCCCGGUCGAGUCGGGUCGUGGCGCAAAGCAAUCUCUGCUCGGCUCGGCUCGCCGAAGUCCGUAUCGUCAUCCGGUGCGGUCCGUCGUCGGCCGUCUCUCGUUCAUCCGUGGGUGUUACGUUACCCGGGUUCAUAGGCGCUCUCUUAUCAACACAACUGAAUUGUAUCAACUAAAUCUGGAAUCAAAGGAAGGAACAUUGUGACACAUCUCUGAAGAACAUAUGUUGGCAGACAAUCGACAGAAGAGUAAAGCAGCCGAAGUACAGAAACUGUGGUGUUGGUGGUGAGAAGUAGCGGCGGUGAGGUGGCCCAUGCCGAUAGCGUGUGGAGGUGCAGUAGUGUGUGGAGCGGUGACGGCUAGGAGAGGCGGUGUGUGAUGACGUCAUGACAGGACGGGUGCCGACGCUGCCGCUGCUGCUGCUGCUGCUGCUGGGGGCGGGGGCGGGAGUGGGGGCAGCGGUGGCCGGCCGUAAUGACAGCGGGGGCGGCGGCAACUGCAUGGAGGCCACUCUCAACCGGGUGCACAUCUCACCCGACAAGGUACCAGUAGCUCUACUGGCGAGUACAUCGAAACUGAGCAGUGCCAGCUGCUGUACGGAGGAGUGGUCGCAUGAGCUGCUUGACACGACGCCGGAUGUGGUGGCGACGGCAGUGCUGACCCCUGGCGGAGUGCUCGUCAACUACCAGCGCGACAUGGGUAGUGCGUCGGCUACAGGCAGCAACACGACGUCGCCGGCCUACUGGAAGUCGCUGCAGCCGGCUCUCAACCACUCGGCUCCCGGCUUCUGGUCACCACCUUUCUGGGACUGCCUGCUCAACAAAUGGGUGUUCGGCUUCUCUGCUCCAAUACCAACCACAACUGGAUUCAGGAGUGUUGCUGGUCUCUUCUACUCGCUGGACAGGGCUGAUUUGGACCAAUGUGAUGAAGUACUCAGUCCUCUGUUCGGCGAGAGCCAUAGAUGUGAUCUACUCACCACUAAGUGUGUACCAAUGAGUGGAUACGGCACGAAGAGUGGAGGCUACCGAUGUGCUUGUCUUCCAGGAUACAUUGCUCCCCCACCUGAAAACUUCACUUUGCAGAAUGAGUUCUUCCCAAGCUACGAAAACACUAUUUACAAAUGUGUGCCAAGCUGCGGCCCUGGUAGACUAUGUACAGCAACACCAGAUGUUUUUGUCAGAACUGUUAUCUUGGGUGCUCAACUCUUUUGCAUUGCAACAACUGUGGUUUUAGGAGUGAUUGUGUUCCGUAAACGAAAAUGUAAGACUAUUGCAGCUGGAAUGUGGACGAUAUUAGAGACUAUAAUUUUAGGAAUUCUUCUUCUCUAUUUGUCUGUUGUUGUUCAUUUUUUCAAACCGUCUAUUGAAAGAUGUUUAUUGGAGCCUUGGUGUAGAGAACUAGGCUUCAUUAUUUGUUACGGAGCUAUUAUACUUAAAUUGUACAGAAUAUUAAUGGAGUUUCGUACUCGUAAGGCUCAUCGUUGGGUUGUGAGAGACAAAGAUCUGUUGAAGUACCUGCUAGGAAUGGUGUUCAUCAUGGUCGUCUACCUAAGUGCUUGGACUGCGGUCACUCUGAAUUUCCUCAGCGAAGGAUUCACCAUUCUCAGGGUUGGUGAAACAGAGUCUGGCCUGCAUUUCCAAGCUUGCAAAACACUCUGGUGGGACUACAUAACAGAAGCAGGGGAACUGGUUAUCCUGUUAUUUGGUCUCCACUUGGGCUUGGCUGCGCGCAAUGCAACUGUGCAAUUCGAGGAGAGGCGAUUCCUGUGCUGCACAGUGGCACUUGAGGCGGUUGUCAGCUGCGGCUUCUACACGAUACGAGCUCUCUACUGGGAAACCCUCCACCCGGACCACACGUUUCUGGCCACAUUUGUACGCAGUCAACUCACCAGCACACUGGUUCUCAUGCUCAUAUUCACACCAAAGCUGUGGUAUCAACACAAGCAAGUUAGAGAUUCAAGGCAUCAACUGACACAUGAGCCAUCGGAUGCCUACAAAGCACAAGAUGGCCUGCCCUACGCCGAUAUGGAAAUUUCAGAGGUCAAUCUAGCUGAAAUGAAUCCUGAUGAUAUCAGGGCUGAGUUGAAACGGCUGUACACUCAAUUGGAGGUUCUGAAGAACAAGACUAUUCGCCAGAAUAACCCUCACAUAUCUAAGAGAAGAGGAGGCCGUAAAGUAGCUCACAGGAGAUUCUCAUUACAGAAAAAAGGGAGUCGAGAAAAGGUAAUCUAAAAGCUGUCUUACUUACAUAAUAUUUUUUGGAAUAAACAGUUCAGCAAAAAAUAGGCUCUCCGACAACAAAGGUGUUCAAGCCGACCCCACGGUCCGGAUGGUCAGGAGGGAGGCGAGGGGGAGGUUUCUCGGACUCCUGAAGACUCAAUCUGCAGCAUGGAGGGCCCGAGUGCAGUUUACAAUGAUGG
rnacentral:misc_RNA from 1 species